CUCAAAACACAUUUCACAGUUAUUGAUCACUCACCAGUGGAGUACAGGAGAAGUGGUCUACGUUGAGAGGAUCCACUUCGAGCUCGAGGUCAAUGCUGUCAGCAUGCUUUGUGCUGCAGAGCAAGACAACAAAAACUGCUGAUCAGUGGCUCCGCCUCCCUCCACCCCUCCACCCUUGGUUGCCAUGGUUUCUGAGCUGGGGUUCUGAUUGGUUAUCUCAGCCAUCCUCUGUUCCAUCUGCUCCAGACGCUCCAGGAUGGACAUCCUGAACUGGGUAUCUACAAGAAUGAAGCACACAAUCUGAGCCGAAAGGGUGGAGCCAUGUGAGUGACACAGGGCUCAGGCUCCUCCCUUUCUACCCUGCCAAUCAGAGGAGGAAACUGGAGCUGCAGCUUUUUUUUCUUUUUCUUCACGAAGCAAAACACUCCACUAUUCUAGCUGCCAAACACAGCUAAAAGCAGCUUUCUUUACCCAUCAUAACUGCAAACACACAUACAAAUGAUGCAUAAAAACACAUCUUCUAAAAAAGACAAAGUAAAGUAGAUUUCUGGUCACAUAAAAACAUGUAAUGCUUCCAGACAUGCUUCUUAAAGGAGAAAAGGAUGAUUGAGAAGACAGCUAUGAGGAUGUUUUCUGUGGUUAAUUUUAAUAACUUAAUUAACUGAUACAUUAAAAUAUCAUUAGAAAGCUGACAAAUAUUCAUUAAAAUUAAGCAAUUAAACAGGGAUGAAAUGGUUAUUUAAUUACCUCCAUAAGUGACAAGUGAAUUAUUGAAUUUUAAAUAUGUUCGUAAAAUGACUUUCACACAGGCUUUCAGUUUCUUUUAUUUACUGAGUCUUUCUGUCAUUUUUCAUUUUGCAAUUCACUCAUCUACCUGCCAUUCAUACUACUUGAGUCCAGAUGCUGUGAGGCUCAUGUUAUGAGGGAUAUAAGAAAGCCCACUGGUGACAUUAGAUAUUCCUCCUUCAAAGUAAUUUUAAGAUUUAAUUAAAAAACGGAUUAAUUUAUUUAUCAUGUCAAUAGCAUGCAAUUAUAUCCUUACAGAUAUUUUAACCACAUAAUUUAAAUGCUAAUCCAACACAUUAUUUUAUGAAUUGUUUUUGAGUGUAUUAAUUAAGUAAAUUAAUUUUUAUUAUAAAGUAUUCUGGUGACACACCCCAGCUUCUCUAAAGGAUUACAGAUCAUAUGUGUUCCUGCAAUUUUUUUUUAUUUUUUAUUUUUUUACAAAAGUUUGUUUGAUGAUAACCGAAAGUUGUACCUGGUACCUGUGGAUUUACUGAUCAACUCUGACACUUUUUCUGUUCUGCUGAAAGGUAUUUCCCCCAUAAUGCUUUGCUAUCUUGGAUUCAUCUUCAAUAAAUGAGGCUCUCACCAUGACAUCACCAAACUCUGAUAACACAUGACUACACUGCAAACCAUUUUUUAGGAAGAGACCAGUGAGACAAACUUGUGUUAGUAAAGAUAGAAUAAGUUGCAGUAUUGCACUUCAUUUAAAUUAAAUCAAAUCAGUUUUCAAGUUCGUAAUCUUGACUAAAACUAUGAUGAAAGUUGUUUAAGAAGUUCUGUAAAAUCAGUUUACAUUUGGCUAACCUGAAGCUAGUGCCUUUAUAACUAAAUCCCAGUUUGUUUGCACAGAAUUUCUAGUGAGCACCUUUUUACAUAUAUAUUUUUUGUUACAUGUACACCAAUAGUUCACCACAUGUUCAACAUAACAUGAUUUGAUUAGUUGACAUUAAUUGGAAAAUUAUUCAGAUAAAAACAAACUUUUAGUAGUAAAAAUGAACACCUACAACACGGUAUCUACUGUAUUAUCCAAUUCAAGCUUUAGCUGGUCAACAACAUGUCCACAUGUCUGUGUCUCAGGCCUGUUAUUAUCUGGGCCCCGACACGAGCCCCAUUAGCCUCCCUUCAUUUGUUGUUCUAGAGUUGAGUGGAGCUGUCCACUCCUGGUGGUGCUGAAAGUGAACAGGUCAACAUGUUCAUAUCAUCAGCUCUGCAACACAACACAAGCAGGCUCUCUGUCUUUUAUUAGCGUGCAAACAAACAUGAGGACUUGUGGCUUUUCCUGCGUCCCUUUGUCUGAGCCCGACAGAGCCUAAGCACCACAUGUACAACAUACAUUCUGACUGAAACCACAAAUGCAAAAGUAGUUUAAAGCUUUAAAUCACUGAAGUCGAAAUUUAGACAGCAGGCACAUUUACGUCCAUUUAUAGCAGCAUGACAAAAAAACUUAACCUAGCUACAAACAACACAGACCUGGCCGCCGAUAAAAGGGCGCGCUUUGAAGUUAUCAUCAGUUUAAAAUCAAAUGAGCUACGAACCCACACAGCGCGUCUCUCUAUGUGCCGCUCUCUUUGUUCCCGCUUCUGUUCAACCCCGUUAGUUUGAAGUGUGCGACUCACACAUUGCUACUCCGAUCGAGCAAAACACAACUAAGUGCAGAGAGAGAGAGAGAGAGAGAGAGAGAGAGAGAUGGAGAGAGAGCAGUCUCCACGUUGUGUCUGAGAGCAGACACGCUUCAAAUCCGCCCGCCAGACUCUGAGCUGCAGGAGGCUCGGUCGUCAUCGGCACAACAAUAGACAGCACACAAACUAAAUUGGAGCAAUGACAUGUGACAAAGUCGUGUGCUGACGCAUGUUUGCUUAAAAUGAUCUAUCCCUGUCUAUUUCUCUCCCAGGCUGCGAGGCUUUGAUGUUACAUUUGAGGCCAAACAAAGGACUUGAGCGAAAAAUAACCGGAGCGCUCAUCCAGCUCUCGGUUUCAUCUCUGAAAGUCAAAGGCAGAGCCUAUAUAUAGCGUCUGUGAGGCUGCACGAGCGCACUGCCGGUGGUGCCCAACAUUUUGACUGUCAAGUGGACCGCGAUUGUGCCAUGAUGUCCUUGCCCUUCACUCCAGCAAACAGCCAGCCUGCUGUGACUGUAGAGCCGCAUUGCCGCAUUGCGCAACGCAGAGACGGGGGCGAACACAGAGUAACCCAGGACAUGCCUCAGCCGAGGAGACCCGUGUGUUUCCAAGCCGCAAUUGCAUCAGGAGAUAUAUUUGCACACAGAAGCUAACACCCCCCGGGUGCUGUGCAGAUAUACGCAACCAAUCCCCCAGAGCUGACUCAAAGAACAUUUAAUUGUCCUCUAACAUCUCACAGCACGUUUUCAUUUAAUGCAGUAUCAUGAAAUCUCACUGGAAACACAUCAGCAGCUCCAACAAAAUCAUUCAGAUUUCUUUCCAGACACUCACAAUGGACUCUAUAUGAUUUUGACCUCAACAACUCCAACAAAUCAAAGCCUAAAGAUGAAAGCUCACAUGGUUUCACAGAACAGGUGUCAAAACUGUUUAGGAGCUUUGAUUCCUUUUUGAGUGUAUCUGCAUGCAGGCCAAGGGUGAGAACAGAAAACACAGCUGCAUCCCAGGGCACAGAAGAACACCAGUAAGCCAAAUAUCACACCAUACUGGUCAGUACAUCAGUUGCUGUGGACAGAGACAGCCAUGGAUGCUUCUAAACCAGUGGUUCUCGAACUCAGUGGCAUAUGGAUGACCAGGGGAUUCAUGUCUGUUAGAUGCUACCCCAAUUAUUCUUAAUUACUGAUGAAAAAAAUUGGGGUGAGGUGGGGUGGAGGGCGUGGGAGGAAUGAAUUUGUCAGCUUCUGAAGGGGGGCAUGACAGAAAAAGUUUGAGAACCACUGAUCUAACCAAGCAGAGCAGCAUAAUGACAUCCACACACACACCAACAGGUUAUCUCAAAGCUUGAACGGAUCAAAAAUGGCAGAGGG